GGGGUGGGGCCAGAGGAGGGGCGGGGCCUGGCGCGCGGCCUGCCCGCUCCACCCCUCCAAGAGACCAGGGAGACCUGCUGAGCCGCCCCGCCCUGAGCGCUCUGGGAAAGGCUCCGAUGGUCCAGGUUGGGUAGGCGGGUCCGGGAAUCUCCCAGCCCAGCUGCCUGCAUCUCAAGGAGGCCUGCAGAGGAACUGGGAGAGUAGGGGCUGGCCUCCAGACAGGCAGGACCCUGCUGCUGCUGGGCCCACCAGCCACCACCCCACACAGAGAAAAGCCUGGCCUGUCUGACUCGGGUCAGCUGUCCUGCUAAUUCCCUUCUUCCACAAAAUGCUCACUACCUCCAGGAAGUCUUCCCUGGUUGGCCACUGGACCUGUUCUGGCAUCAGCCCCAGAAACACUUCAUCUCUACACACUUGUCCAGGCGAUCUUUCCAGAAAAUUAUGGACUCCUGUUCGCUGUUGCUUUUUCAACUUCCUCUUAUGUCUGCCUCCUCCAGUGAGACAAGAUGAGACUCCACCUUCUUUGACUCCACAUCAGUCAGAAUCGGCAAGCAGGUAUGACUAAAACACGGAUUAAAAUGAACUGAACUAAUUCCAGAGUCCUGGGCACCACACAUCGGAAGCCUGCCACCACCCGCCUGAGCUCCACAAUUCACAAAGACUUUGCAUGUCUGUUACCUAAGUGGAUUCUUGAACACCCCCUGGUUUUACAGAUGAGGAAGGGCAGGCAUGGCAAGGUGAAUGGGCAGCCUGUGUCCUAUAGCUUGAGAGAGACAGAAGAAUUGUUCCCAUGGGCCAGACUCCUGCCAGACUCGAACCCACUCUGGCCAGACUCGGCUAAGCUUAUAAGCACAGACUAGCAGUCCCUUGCAUUCCACACUGACUUCUCUUCCCUGUGAGUUUUAUAUCAUCCCUAAUGAGAACCUUGGGAAAAGGUCACAGGUCAUCAUGGCUGUGUCCAGAGGAAGGUCCCCUCUCUUUCCCAGGAGGCAAGGACAGAAGCUGUGAGCUCACAGCUGCUUGAACAUUGUCAUGGGUCUUCAUAGCGAUACGAGAAUUAAACUCAUUUGCCUGCCUCUCGGUA